rnacentral:lncRNA from 1 species
CUGCCGUGUGCGGGGAUGGGCUCGGGGGAUGCGGCACCGGGGGAGGACCUCGCCACGGAAAGCACCCUCCCGACUGCCGCCUUCCGUACCCGUAAAAAUAACACCGGUGUGAUGGAAAGGAUUCCAGCUGAAUGUUUUCUCUGUGACUCAAAUACAAACCUGCAUAAGUGACAGAAAAGAAAGUUGAUUGCAACUUCAUCGUUAAGGAGAAAAGGUAACAUGUCUGAAUUUCUUUCUUUUUUUUGUUGUUUGUUUUGUUUUUGUUUUUAAUUACAGAUUUGAUCUAGUGUUGUACUGAUUAAAAACAUAAAAUGUUAAAAAAUGUCAUUUAAUACAACAGUAACCCAGAGCUUUUCUUGAAGACUGUCUUCCUGCCCCACAGUUUUUGUCCAUGCUUCUC